rnacentral:rRNA from 1 species
UUAAGCGACUAAGCGUACACGGUGGAUGCCCUGGCAGUCAGAGGCGAUGAAGGACGUGCUAAUCUGCGAUAAGCGUCGGUAAGGUGAUAUGAACCGUUAUAACCGGCGAUUUCCGAAUGGGGAAACCCAGUGUGAUUCGUCACACUAUCAUUAACUGAAUCCAUAGGUUAAUGAGGCGAACCGGGGGAACUGAAACAUCUAAGUACCCCGAGGAAAAGAAAUCAACCGAGAUUCCCCCAGUAGCGGCGAGCGAACGGGGAGCAGCCCAGAGCCUGAAUCAGUGUGUGUGUUAGUGGAAGCGUCUGGAAAGGCGCGCGAUACAGGGUGACAGCCCCGUACACAAAAAUGCACAUGCUGUGAGCUCGAUGAGUAGGGCGGGACACGUGGUAUCCUGUCUGAAUAUGGGGGGACCAUCCUCCAAGGCUAAAUACUCCUGACUGACCGAUAGUGAACCAGUACCGUGAGGGAAAGGCGAAAAGAACCCCGGCGAGGGGAGUGAAAAAGAACCUGAAACCGUGUACGUACAAGCAGUGGGAGCACAGAGCAAUCUGUGUGACUGCGUACCUUUUGUAUAAUGGGUCAGCGACUUAUAUUCUGUAGCAAGGUUAACCGAAUAGGGGAGCCGAAGGGAAACCGAGUCUUAACUGGGCGUUAAGUUGCAGGGUAUAGACCCGAAACCCGGUGAUCUAGCCAUGGGCAGGUUGAAGGUUGGGUAACACUAACUGGAGGACCGAACCGACUAAUGUUGAAAAAUUAGCGGAUGACUUGUGGCUGGGGGUGAAAGGCCAAUCAAACCGGGAGAUAGCUGGUUCUCCCCGAAAGCUAUUUAGGUAGCGCCUCGUGAAUUCAUCUCCGGGGGUAGAGCACUGUUUCGGCAAGGGGGUCAUCCCGACUUACCAACCCGAUGCAAACUGCGAAUACCGGAGAAUGUUAUCACGGGAGACACACGGCGGGUGCUAACGUCCGUCGUGAAGAGGGAAACAACCCAGACCGCCAGCUAAGGUCCCAAAGUCAUGGUUAAGUGGGAAACGAUGUGGGAAGGCCCAGACAGCCAGGAUGUUGGCUUAGAAGCAGCCAUCAUUUAAAGAAAGCGUAAUAGCUCACUGGUCGAGUCGGCCUGCGCGGAAGAUGUAACGGGGCUAAACCAUGCACCGAAGCUGCGGCAGCGACGCUUAUGCGUUGUUGGGUAGGGGAGCGUUCUGUAAGCCUGUGAAGGUGUACUGUGAGGUAUGCUGGAGGUAUCAGAAGUGCGAAUGCUGACAUAAGUAACGAUAAAGCGGGUGAAAAGCCCGCUCGCCGGAAGACCAAGGGUUCCUGUCCAACGUUAAUCGGGGCAGGGUGAGUCGACCCCUAAGGCGAGGCCGAAAGGCGUAGUCGAUGGGAAACAGGUUAAUAUUCCUGUACUUGGUGUUACUGCGAAGGGGGGACGGAGAAGGCUAUGUUGGCCGGGCGACGGUUGUCCCGGUUUAAGCGUGUAGGCUGGUUUUCCAGGCAAAUCCGGAAAAUCAAGGCUGAGGCGUGAUGACGAGGCACUACGGUGCUGAAGCAACAAAUGCCCUGCUUCCAGGAAAAGCCUCUAAGCAUCAGGUAACAUCAAAUCGUACCCCAAACCGACACAGGUGGUCAGGUAGAGAAUACCAAGGCGCUUGAGAGAACUCGGGUGAAGGAACUAGGCAAAAUGGUGCCGUAACUUCGGGAGAAGGCACGCUGAUAUGUAGGUGAAGUCCCUCGCGGAUGGAGCUGAAAUCAGUCGAAGAUACCAGCUGGCUGCAACUGUUUAUUAAAAACACAGCACUGUGCAAACACGAAAGUGGACGUAUACGGUGUGACGCCUGCCCGGUGCCGGAAGGUUAAUUGAUGGGGUUAGCGCAAGCGAAGCUCUUGAUCGAAGCCCCGGUAAACGGCGGCCGUAACUAUAACGGUCCUAAGGUAGCGAAAUUCCUUGUCGGGUAAGUUCCGACCUGCACGAAUGGCGUAAUGAUGGCCAGGCUGUCUCCACCCGAGACUCAGUGAAAUUGAACUCGCUGUGAAGAUGCAGUGUACCCGCGGCAAGACGGAAAGACCCCGUGAACCUUUACUAUAGCUUGACACUGAACAUUGAGCCUUGAUGUGUAGGAUAGGUGGGAGGCUUUGAAGUGUGGACGCCAGUCUGCAUGGAGCCGACCUUGAAAUACCACCCUUUAAUGUUUGAUGUUCUAACGUUGACCCGUAAUCCGGGUUGCGGACAGUGUCUGGUGGGUAGUUUGACUGGGGCGGUCUCCUCCUAAAGAGUAACGGAGGAGCACGAAGGUUGGCUAAUCCUGGUCGGACAUCAGGAGGUUAGUGCAAUGGCAUAAGCCAGCUUGACUGCGAGCGUGACGGCGCGAGCAGGUGCGAAAGCAGGUCAUAGUGAUCCGGUGGUUCUGAAUGGAAGGGCCAUCGCUCAACGGAUAAAAGGUACUCCGGGGAUAACAGGCUGAUACCGCCCAAGAGUUCAUAUCGACGGCGGUGUUUGGCACCUCGAUGUCGGCUCAUCACAUCCUGGGGCUGAAGUAGGUCCCAAGGGUAUGGCUGUUCGCCAUUUAAAGUGGUACGCGAGCUGGGUUUAGAACGUCGUGAGACAGUUCGGUCCCUAUCUGCCGUGGGCGCUGGAGAAUUGAGGGGGGCUGCUCCUAGUACGAGAGGACCGGAGUGGACGCAUCACUGGUGUUCGGGUUGUCAUGCCAAUGGCACUGCCCGGUAGCUAAAUGCGGAAGAGAUAAGUGCUGAAAGCAUCUAAGCACGAAACUUGCCCCGAGAUGAGUUCUCCCUGACUCCUUGAGAGUCCUGAAGGAACGUUGAAGACGACGACGUUGAUAGGCCGGGUGUGUAAGCGCAGCGAUGCGUUGAGCUAACCGGUACUAAUGAACCGUGAGGCUUAACCU